rnacentral:rRNA from 1 species
UGCAAGUCGAACGGACUGUGGUAAUUAUGAUUGAAGAGCUUGCUCGGAGAGAUUAAUUACAAUGCAGUCAGUGGCGAACGGGUGAGUAACACGUGGGAAACCUACCUCUUAGCAGGGGAUAACAUUUGGAAACAGAUGCUAAUACCGUAUAACAAUUAGAACCGCAUGGUUCAAGUUUAAAAGAUGGUUCUGCUAUCACUAAGAGAUGGUCCCGCGGCGUAUUAGCUAGAUGGUGAGGUAAUGGCUCACCAUGGCAAUGAUACNUAGCCGAGUUGAGAGANNGAUCGGCCACUUUGGGACUGANACNCGGCCCAAACUCCUAC